UAUUGAAAUACACCUGAUAAGUUGUUGCUGGCUCUCUAGGGAGCAUGUGCACACUUUUAAUCUUUGUAUCUUCACCUGUGCACCCUUUGUAGACCUGAAUACCUCUCUGAAUGCUCGGGAUUGAGGAUUGACUUGCUGUCUCUUCUUAUAUUUUCAGGUCUAUGUUUCUUCAUAUACCCUAAUGUAUGUGGAUAGAAUGUGAUUACUAGGCAUUUGUGUCUAUAAAUCUAUACAACUUUCAGCAACGGAUCUCUUGGCUCUCGCAUCGAUGAAGAACGCAGCGAAAUGCGAUAAGUAAUGUGAAUUGCAGAAUUCAGUGAAUCAUCGAAUCUUUGAACGCACCUUGCGCUCCUUGGUAUUCCGAGGAGCAUGCCUGUUUGAGUGUCAUUAAUAUUUAUCAACCUCUUUGGUUGGAUGUGGGUUUGCUGGCCCUUUUGAGGUUGUCAGCUUUCCUUAAAUUCAUUAGCUGGCAACAUUUUGUUAACUGUUCAUUGGUGUGAUAAUUAUCUACACUAUUGACGUGAAGCAAGGUUCAGCUUCUAGCAGUCCAUUGACUUGGACAAGUUUGUUAAAUG
rnacentral:misc_RNA from 1 species